rnacentral:rRNA from 1 species
AGUGAACGCUGGCGGUAGGCCUAACACAUGCAAGUCGAACGGCAGCACAGUAAGAGCUUGCUCUUACGGGUGGCGAGUGGCGGACGGGUGAGGAAUACAUCGGAAUCUACUUUUUCGUGGGGGAUAACGUAGGGAAACUUACGCUAAUACCGCAUACGACCUACGGGUGAAAGCAGGGGAUCUUCGGACCUUGCGCGAUUGAAUGAGCCGAUGUCGGAUUGGCUAGUUGGCGGGGUAAAGGCCCACCAAGGCGACGAUCCGUAGCUGGUCUGAGAGGAUGAUCAGCCACACUGGAACUGAGACACGGUCCAGACUCCUACGGGAGGCAGCAGUGGGGAAUAUUGGACAAUGGGCGAAAGCCUGAUCCAGCCAUACCGCGUGGGUGAAGAAGGCCUUCGGGUUGUAAAGCCCUUUUGUUGGGAAAGAAAAGCAGCAGGUUAAUACCCCGCUGUUCUGACGGUACCCAAAGAAUAAGCACCGGCUAACUUCGUG